CCUACGGGAGGCAGCAGUGAGGAAUAUUGGUCAAUGGUCGGGAGACUGAACCAGCCAAGCCGCGUGAGGGAUGAAGGUACAGAGUAUCGUAAACCUCUUUUGUCAGGGAACAAAGGCGGGGACGUGUCCCCGGCUGAGUGUACCUGAAGAAAAAGCAUCGGCUAACUCCGUGCCAGCAGCCGCGGUAAUACGGAGGAUGCGAGCGUUAUCCGGUUUUAUUGGGUUUAAAGGGUGCGCGGGCGGUGUGUUAAGUCAGCGGUCAAAGCCCGGGGCUCAACCCCGGCCCGCCGUUGAAACUGGCAGUCUCGAGUUGGAGAGAAGUAGGCGGAAUGCGCGGUGUAGCGGUGAAAUGCAUAGAUAUCGCGCAGAACUCCGAUUGCGAAGGCAGCAUGCCGGCUCCAAACUGACGCUGAGGCACGAAAGCGUGGGUAUCGAACAGGAUUAGAUACCCCGGUAGUC
rnacentral:rRNA from 1 species